UCCACACUCCCUUCAUCCGGAAAUACUUGUCAUAGGAAUGAUUGUAUGUAGAUAUAUUUUAGUUUUAAAUAUAUCCAUUUUUAUUCAUUUGUGCGACAAAUAAUUUCGGACGAAGGAGGUAAUAA
rfam:Hordeum vulgare subsp. vulgare, WGS project CAJW01000000 data, contig: morex_contig_45580